rnacentral:rRNA from 1 species
GCCCAAAUACCAAGGCGCUUGAGAGAACUCGGGUGAAGGAACUAGGCAAAAUGGCACCGUAACUUCGGGAGAAGGUGCGCCGGUGAGGGUGAAGCAUUUACUGCGUAAGCCCAUGCCGGUCGAAGAUACCAGGCCGCUGCGACUGUUUAUUAAAAACACAGCACUCUGCAAACACGAAAGUGGACGUAUAGGGUGUGACGCCUCCCCGGUGCCGGAAGGUUAAUUGAUGGGGUUAGCUAACGCGAAGCUCUUGAUCGAAGCCCCGGUAAACGGCGGCCGUAACAAUAACGGUCCUAAGGUAGCGAAAUUCCUUGUCGGGUAAGUUCCGACCUGCACGAAUGGCGUAACGAUGGCGGCGCUGUCUCCACCCGAGACUCAGUGAAAUUGAAAUCGCUGUGAAGAUGCAGUGUAUCCGCGGCUAGACGGAAAGACCCCGUGAACCUUUACUAUAGCUUUGCACUGGACUUUGAAUUUGCUUGUGUAGGAUAGGUGGGAGGCUUUGAAGCGUGGACGCCAGUUCGCGUGGAGCCAACCUUGAAAUACCACCCUGGCAACUUUGAGGUUCUAACUCAGGUCCGUUAUCCGGAUCGAGGACAGUGUAUGGUGGGUAGUUUGACUGGGGCGGUCUCCUCCUAAAGAGUAACGGAGGAGUACGAAGGUGCGCUCAGACCGGUCGGAAAUCGGUCGUAGAGUAUAAAGGCAAAAGCGCGCUUGACUGCGAGACAGACACGUCGAGCAGGUACGAAAGUAGGUCUUAGUGAUCCGGUGGUUCUGUAUGGAAGGGCCAUCGCUCAACGGAUAAAAGGUACUCCGGGGAUAACAGGCUGAUACCGCCCAAGAGUUCAUAUCGACGGCGGUGUUUGGCACCUCGAUGUCGGCUCAUCACAUCCUGGGGCUGAAGCCGGUCCCAAGGGUAUGGCUGUUCGCCAUUUAAAGUGGUACGCGAGCUGGGUUUAGAACGUCGUGAGACAGUUCGGUCCCUAUCUGCCGUGGACGUUUGAGAUUUGAGAGGGGCUGCUCCUAGUACGAGAGGACCGGAGUGGACGAACCUCUGGUGUUCCGGUUGUCACGCCAGUGGCAUUGCCGGGUAGCUAUGUUCGGAAUAGAUAACCGCUGAAAGCAUCUAAGCGGGAAACUAGCCUCAAGAUGAGAUCUCACUGGGACCUUGAGUCCCCUGAAGGGCCGUCGAAGACUACGACGUUGAUAGGUUGGGUGUGUAAGCGCUGUGAGGCGUUGAGCUAACCAAUACUAAUUGCCCGUGAGGCUUGACCAA